UGUCUGCAUUUCUAACAAAAUUGGAACUGCCUCCAUUUCUUCCUGUGUGUGGUGCCCCCGACAUUGCGCUGAACAUGUUGCCUUCAUUAUCUCAUUUAGUCCCUGCAGCGGCCCAGAGCACAUCCUGCUGUGAAAUCUCUUCUAGUGAUUCUGGUGGUCUAGAAACAUCAGAUUCAUCUCAGGUUUUAGCCCAGAGAUUCUAAUUCAGUGGGAAUGACGUGGGGCCAGGAAAUUUACCCUUUUCAAGUAAUCCUAGUGAUCCAAUGCGUAUGUAUGUUUGGCAGUGACUAUUUUAAUUAGUGGCUUAGUUACUUGGCUCUCGAACAAGACAGCAUGGGUCUGAUUCAUCUUUCUCCCUCUAGAGCUUGCUGCAGCAGAAACCCUCAGGGAAGAUGGCCGAAUGAAAAUUCAGAUGCAUGGUUAAGUGUCAGGAGAGUGAAGAUGUCCAGUGUUGUGGGUCCUGAGCUUUCUGGAGGCCAGCCAGGGGGAUCUUAAGACCUCCACAGGGGUGCAUGACCACACAGUGACAACCCAGGACCAGCAGGAGCUGUAGGGAGCACAGAGGCUGACUUAGCAGAAAGAAGAACUUUCAUACUGACUCCCCUGAUGGGAGAGGAUUGCCCCAUCACAGCAAGUGGGCACAGACCUGAUGACUGUCUGGCAGGAAUUUUACAGAGCAGAUUCAUGCCAGGACUGGACUGUUGACUCCAAAGUCCCUACCAGCCCUGGAACAUGAAGUGACACCAGCUAGAGAUGCCUGGGUUUACCUGAGAGCAAGGUGGUCAGUGCACUGUUUUGGUUCAGGACGUAGGUCCUCCGGGUUGACCUGCCCCCUCCCCAAGAGCUGGAAAGCCCUGAGAAGUACAGAAUGGAUUCUGUACUGUGGGAAUGUGCCAGGAAACAAUCAGAGACUCCCAACAUGAAUUGUCAUUUGUGGAGGGAGUGGCUGUUACCUGACUCUGUCUUCAUGCACCAGUGUAGCACAAACAGCGGCUUUAUUGGUGAUGCUUGGGAAGCUGUGGCAGAGCCCAGCAUGCAGGCUGUGAGGGCUCAGACAGCUUCCAGCAGACAGGGGAUGAGGGGAUUAGCCUCAGUGGGCUCUGCUGCUUGGGGCACAUUGUCCCUUCUCAGUUCUUUGAGGCAAGUGUGCAGGAAGAGGGUUCAGCACUUCACAAACUGGUGGGUGACCUCAUAGAUUCCCACAGAUUCCUGAGCUUUUUCGUCAUAGUCAGUCCAGUCCUGUGGGGGAAAAUGGCCGUUAUUAGCCUCACGAGAUGGGACAGUGUGCACAGUGGUCACGAACUGGGACUUCAAACAUGUAUGACCCAGAACAGAGCCAGACUCCGUUUUGGGCAAGUCACUUAACUUCUCUGAGUCUCAGUUCUAUUAAAAAGGGGGGGGGGGGGGGCAGACAGUAGCAGACCUCCAUCUUGAAAGAAUCAAAUGAGGUAACACAUGUAAAAGUAUUCAGCAUAGUAUUGGGCGCAUAUAAGAGCUCAGUAAAUUUCAGUUACUGUUGUUAUUAGGUGCUAUGCAAACUGAAGUUUCUGUUCUUUUGAAGCCUGACCACAAGGCCUAUGUAAGACAGUAAUGUGGCCAGUAAUACAGUUGAUUCUUGUUAUUCAUGGUAGUUACAAUCUACAUAAUCACUACAAACACUGAAUUAGCAAACAGUGAACCACUAUUCCCAGGGAAAAUAUAAGGUUAGGUUCUCAGAAGCAUCUGAUCACAUUUUCUUCAAUCAAUAUAUAACCUUGUCUUGGGUAAGUUUUUGUUAAAAAAAAAACAAACAAAAAAAACAACAAAAAACACCUUAUUUAAUAUAUAUAGUUGAUUCAUUAAUAUUGAACUCCUAGCUGACAGCACUAUUACUCCUGCCUAAACAAAGCUGAUCUAACAUGCAUUUUCUCCAUGCAUUUUCACCCCAGACUUCUUGCUUGUGGAACACUAGACAGCACUUUAGUACUACACUUGGGGCCAUUUUAAACACCAAAAUCAUCAGCAAAAAAAACGUGGAGUCAGCUUUGUAUUGAUGAUCUUUGUCCACUAGAAGGGUAAUUCCCACCAGGUACCCUCCAGCACCCUGCAAGACCCCCCAAGUCCUGUACCUUCUCCUGAAGAUUAAUAUCACUGAAGACCGUCCCCGAUUCCACGCCCUCGGCAGCAAACCCAGCCUGUAGGUGACAGGACGGCAGCUGUUAGUCUGGGGAAAGGAGGCACCAGUCUGGCAUGUGAGGACAGAGAUGCAGUGGGGGCACCUGCUCUAGAAUAACUACUGCACUUCCAGGGCCUGGCAGCUGCCCCAGGAGUAUAGUAGUUCCUCCAAACUAGAGCCUUGGACCAGAGACAGGAGGUGUGGGGUAAACCUUUCCAUUACCCAGUUUUCUGAGAUCCUAGGCACGUCACUCCCCUAUCUGGACCUGAGUCAUAUUGUUUAUGAAAUGGGGAUGACAAGACUGUCUCAUCUUCCUGCCUCACAGAUUUGUUGUGAGGUCAAAAUGCUGCACAACUAAAGUGGGAUAAGCACUGGCUCUGGAGUCUGACAGACCUGGGUUCAAAUAAUAGUACCAGUGUUUAUGAACUCUGUCACCCUGGGCAAGUUGCAAAAUCUGAAAUUCUUUCCUUGUCUGAAAGAUAGGGUGAAUAACUUCACAAGGUCACUGUGAGGAUUAAACAAAGUAACACGUAAAAGUGACCAGAACUUGCCCAUCAUAUGGUAGGCACUUAAUAAAUAACAAUUAUUAUUCUGAGAAGGAAGUCCUAGUCCAUGGUCUCUGCAUGAAGCAGAGUUCUGUUGUCGCUUUCUAUAUGCCCUCCCCAAAGAUACAGGUUCCCUGGGAAGAUACACGCACCUGAGGCUGGAAAUCAACUGGUUCAAGGCCCCGACACUCAAACUCUACAAUUGUCUUGAACUUCUCAUUGUCUUCAGCCUAGAAAGGAAGUGUGUUGAGGGGGCAGACCCAACUGGGCCCUUAGGAUGAUCCCACUGCCCCUGCUCUUCCUGCCAAGUGGGCCCAACUGCCCUUGUGAGCCCAGAAUGGGACUCAGGAGCAACCCAUUCCCUUCCGGAAGAAGUCUGCACUGGUCACCUGCUCCCCAUGAGACCUUCUUGUACACAGAUGCUGUAGAAGAAACACUGUGGGUUCUAGAGUCAGCCUGCCUGGAUAUGAGCUCAGACAGAGCUCUGCCUUCUGCCUCUCUUCCCAUCUAAGAUGGUCAGACUGGGCUGAAGAAACCACUGCAGGUUUGUUGUGAGAACCUGAACUGUGUGUAACGUGCCCAGCUAUAGUCCCUGACUAUGCUCAAUAAAUGAUAAAAUUCUCAAAAAAUAUGAA